rnacentral:rRNA from 1 species
GAUGAACGCUAGCGGGAGGCCUAACACAUGCAAGCCGAGCGGUAUUGUUUCUUCGGAAAUGAGAGAGCGGCGUACGGGUGCGUAACACGUGUGCAACCUGCCUUUAUCUGGGGGAUAGCCUUUCGAAAGGAAGAUUAAUACUCCAUAAUAUAUUGAACGGCAUCGUUUAAUAUUGAAAGCUCCGGCGGAUAGAGAUGGGCACGCGCAAGAUUAGCUAGUUGGUGAGGUAACGGCUCACCAAGGCGAUGAUCUUUAGGGGGCCUGAGAGGGUGAUCCCCCACACUGGUACCGAGACACGGACCAGACUCCUACGGGAGGCAGCAGUGAGGAAUAUUGGUCAAUGGGUGCAAGCCUGAACCAGCCAUCCCGCGUGAAGGACGACUGCCCUAUGGGUUGUAAACUUCUUUUGUAUAGGGAUAAACCUACCCUCGUGAGGGUAGCUGAAGGUACUAUACGAAUAAGCACCGGCUAACUCCGUG